AUGAAUCUCCAGCCCUCGGCUCCCCACCCAGGCCCACCUUCAGACCAGCGGCAGCGCUCACCCACCACGCCUGCCAGGGAAGCUCAGUCCCAGCAGAAUGCAGACAGGGCCCACUGCAUGUGCCUGCCUGUGACGGCUUGUGACAGAGCCCCAGCCAGGGCCGACGAGCUGGAGGGGCCCAAGGAGCAGGAUGCAGCACUGGGGGCCCUCCGCUCCUCCUGCACACCUUCCGCACACGUCCCUCGCUCUCCCACACCACUGGCACCAGGCCCGGGACACCUGCUCUGCUGCAGCAGAAUGGCUACUCAUCACACGCUGUGGAUGGGACUGGUCCUGCUGGGGCUGCUGGGCGGCCUACAGGCAGUACCCGAGGCCCAGGUCUCCGUGCAGCCCGACUUCCAGCCGGACAAGGUGAGGGGCUUCCCUGAGCCAUCCCCAAGGGCUACAGGGCCCUGUCAGGGGAAGGGCACUUUCCGCCUGGGUCUUCUCCCCGGGAGGAGCGAGGGAAGUCCCGCAGUGCCGGGCAGUGCCGGCCAGGGACUGAACGGGCGCGCAGGAAGGAGGCUGGGUAGCUGCCCCAGGAGGCUGACCCCGAGAGGCCCUCCCUGGGCACCACGUCCUGUCUCCCAUGAUGGGCCACGCAGACACCGGGCCACACACGCUCCCAUGCCAUCCAAACACGGCCACUCCUACGGGCACGCGACCCCCAGAGGACACACGAGCGCACAUUCCACACCUGGGUACCAAAACACGGGCGGGUGGGGCACGGGGAUGGCGCCAAAAACCGCCGUGCGCGGUGGGGGGUCGGGGGACGCGCACCGCACAGCCAGCCAGCGACGCGCGCUCUCGACCGGGAGCUGCGCGGGGACGCGCCAGAGCGCGGGUCCCCAGCCGCGCGCCCCUCCCGGGCGUCGAGGAGACUCCCAGCGGUCCGCGGAGCGAGCGGAAGACCUGCCCCGACCCCCGUCAGGAAUGCGACGUCCUCGGCCGCCCGCUGUAUCGGCCGGGCGCUCCGCCAGGGCACAGAAGCGGGACCGGGGGCGGAGGGGCCGGAGCUGGCUGGUGGGCGGCGUGUGAGAGUGAGGGACGGUCCUCGGGAGGGGCGUGGCCAGACGGGGUGCUGUUGUUAGGGGCG
rnacentral:lncRNA from 1 species